rfam:Citrus sinensis cultivar Ridge Pineapple sweet orange scaffold00019_contig_168, whole genome shotgun sequence.
GCAAAAAUGAUGAAGAACAUUUGGUCUGAAUCAUUGAUGUGGAAUGAUUUCAUAUCACACUAGCCUUCAAAGUUCUCUGAUUUUC